AAAAUGUAAAUAAAAAAAUGCAAUUAAAAAAAAAAAGAAUGAGCCCUCUUACUGGUAGUUCAGUGUAGUGGUCAGCCAUAAAGCCAUGUAUAUACAAACAGCAAAAAUGGACUCAAAGAUUUUAUUUAUAUAUAUUCAUAGAAAUAAAUAAAUGUAUGCAUGUAAAAAUGCAAUUGAAGAAAAACAAGAAUAAACCAUGUGAAACUACAUGAAUUAAUCUCAAAAUUAUAAAAAAUAAAAAUUAUAUGGUAUAUAUUCUGGUCUGAAUCUAGAAUAUCCUUCAAGAAGGCUCAUGAACUGAAGACUUGGUCUAUAAUUGGGGCAGUUAUUGAGGAGUGCUUGUAUCAUGGGCACUCUAACGUCAUCAAGAAGCUAGUCUGUUGAUGAAUUCAUGCGUAAUGAGGUUGUGAAGGAAUAAACUACAGUCCAGAAAUGAAUACAUCUGUGAGGGAGUUUUUGCUUAGUUUGAAGUCCUAGUUCAGACAUUUGCAGUAUGAAGACACAUGCCUUUGACCCAGAUCUUGAAGCAGGAAGAUACACCUUUAAUAUGGGCCACACCUUCUGGAAGCCUGUGUAAGGGCAUAGAGGAAGGAAACUUUUGCUUUUUGCUUGCAUAUCUUCAUUUUGCUAGCACAUUAUUUCUUCACUGACAUUAGAGCCCACUUCUUCAGGAUUCCGGCAUCUACAGAAAACCAGCUGAGACAUGCAACUUUGUUGACUGAGAAACUAUUGGAUUCUUGGACUUUUCUUUCAUUGGAUUAGCUGGAUUGCAGCCUAAUCACUUACUCAACUUGAAGCUUUUUUACUAGAUUGGGUAUGAGCUUCAGGAAUCUAUCUUUCCUACUACCUGCCCAGUGCUCCAAUGCUGAGAUUACAGAUGCCCAUCUUUGAGGAGAAAUCAGAGGUUUCCAGGAGAACCAACAGCAGAGGUGGGAGCUUCCUUCUUAGGCCACACCCCUGACAGCUUUUAUUUAGACCUCUAGCCUCGUUUCUUUAGCCCUCCCAACAGUUUUGCAAGAUACUAUCUACAGUUUAUGCAUCUAUUUCUUGCUUAACACAGUGAGAGGGAACCUCUAUUAAUUAUAGUUAAAUGGCUUAACUAAUAAAAGCCAUACAUAAAAACACAAAUGUUAAAAACAAGAAUUUGUUUUCUUCGAUUUGGAAUUUUUUUUUUUUUGGACGGGAGUUGGGGAUGAUUAUUAACCUAGUUGAGCUAAACAAGACCAACAAUGUAAAAUUUGUUUGUAUUAUCUUCAAUAUCCUGCCCCCCAAAUCUUUCUUUAUUCCUUUAUGUGGAACCCUCCCUGGGAUUGAAAUAGAGGUGCAGAUCAAACAUGAUAUUUUCAUGGGAAGAGUUUGGUCCUGUGCUGGUUACUCUUUGUCAACUUGACACAAA